UAUAAUCCAGCCACCUCCAAAAAAGCCAGUCUUUCUCCUUUUCCUGCACCUUUCACAUUUAUCAUUUCCACGAAUGCAGAUUUAGUCCAAAAUCAGUCAUGGUCAUGAUGGAGACGCCGCGGAUUUGGCCGGUAACAAUGAUGGUCAUGAUGCAAACACUCCGGAGGCCCGUUUGUCCAGAAAUUCAUUGUGUGUACAGUAUGAGGGUUUGUUGCCCUCUGCUGGUUACAUUCUGCAACAAAAUUACUGUAAAUACUUGCAACACACCACCACACUACUCCAGCUCCUCUCUUUCACAAUGCCUGACUCUAACGAAGCCAUACCAGCACCAUGCCAGGUGAUCAAAGAGGAUGUUGACAAAUGUGUCAGAGAGAAGGGAGCAGAUGCCUGUAAAGAUCUGAUAGAUGCCUUCCAGGCCUGUAUAAAAACUCUGUCUGAGGGAUCAUGAUUCACAAGAAGUACGUCUUGUUAAAAUCGCUCCACUUUCUCAGCAUUCCCUUCCUUGCUCGUUGCACUGGACCGAACCAUCAGAAAAACUGAAGAGGGGUUUGAUGAUACUGAGCUUCUGAUACUGUGCAGUGUGAAACUCCAUCUCAGACUGGACCAUAACACUGAUUACCUUCCAUCUUUAUGCACAAAAAUGCAAAAUAUAAUAAAUAUUAAGCUUGUCUAUA